UCUUUAUCUCUCUUGUUUUUUUUGUCUGCUCUCUCUCUCUCUCUCUCUCUCUCUCUCUCUGAUCAGUUAAGCCCGAACCCAAACAACCAUCCAAAUUGAAGUGCAUAUAUAGAGAAUAGCAAGGACUAAAUUACAUAAAAAAUCUUUCAGCUAUGUGUAUUUUGAUGUUUGGUAAAGAUAACUAGGCAAAGGACUAGCCCUCAACAAUUUUAAUGGUAACUCUGUCAACCACUUCCCAUUUCUUUCAUAGUAAGUAACACCUGAGAACUCCAACGGUUGAUGUCGCCCAUCAAAAUUUCCCACAACCCUUCAUCGCCGAUCUUAUUUGAUUCAAUAUAUAUAGGGUGUAUAUAUAUAUUGUAUAAAAAGUGAAUAUGAAAAUGUACUGAUAAAAACGUCUAUAAUGUGUAUAUAUAUUGUAUGAAAUGUACAUUAAUAAAAAUGUAUAUAAUAUAUGUAUAUAUAAUGUGUAUCAUAUUAUGUAUACAUAAAAUCUAUUAUAUACAUUUUUAUCAAUAUACUUACAAUUAAUACACACUUCAUAUUAACUUUACUUACAUAUAUAAUCUACAACUUUAUACUGUUAGUUUCCAAUUUAUACAAGCACCUAAUUGAGAAUCUCAUUGCACUUCUCUUUUGUUGAAGCUUCAAGCGUUCAUCAACCACACUUAAAAUGAGACAAAGCCAAAGCCAAAUGAAAGAACAUAGCCAAAAAAGACUGAAAGUCUUUUGUGUUAGAUUUCACUGGAAGAUUUUUAUAUCUUUCAAUCUGAAAUCCAGAUUCCUUCCUUCCUUUCUUCUCCAUCAAUAAACUUGUAUUUUCUAUAUAUCAUGAAACUAAGCUUUAGAACACACAAUGUUCAUUUGUGUUAGGUGCAGAACAAAAUAAAUUGUUAAAGAGCAAGAGAGAUAAAAGGUGAGACAGGGAGAGAUGCAACAGAGAGAGAGAUUACAGAGAAAAGAGAGAAGAGAAGACAAUACAGGAAGCGUGAGUAGUCAUCCAGUGAGUGAGGGGGGAGAAAUAGGGGAGAAAAAUAGGGUAGUCCGGUGCACUAAAACUCUUGUUAUAUACAUGGUUUGGGGAAUGGCCCCACACAAGGGUGUAUAGUAUGCAACCUUACCUUGCAUUUCCGUCAGAGGUUGAUUCCAAGGCUUAAACCCGUGAUCUCCUGGUCACAUGGCAACAACUUUACAAGUUACUCCAAGGCUCCCCUUC
rnacentral:lncRNA from 1 species